AUUGAACGCUGGCGGCAUGCCUUACACAUGCAAGUCGAACGGUAACGCGGGGCAACCUGGCGACGAGUGGCGAACGGGUGAGUAAUGCAUCGGAACGUGCCCGGUAGUGGGGGAUAACUGCUCGAAAGAGCAGCUAAUACCGCAUACGACCUGAGGGUGAAAGGGGGGGAUCGCAAGACCUCUCGCUAUCGGAGCGGCCGAUGUCGGAUUAGCUAGUUGGUGGGGUAAAGGCCCACCAAGGCGACGAUCCGUAGCUGGUCUGAGAGGACGACCAGCCACACUGGGACUGAGACACGGCCCAGACUCCUACGGGAGGCAGCAGUGGGGAAUUUUGGACAAUGGACGCAAGUCUGAUCCAGCCAUGCCGCGUGCGGGAAGAAGGCCUUCGGGUUGUAAACCGCUUUUGUCAGGGAAGAAAUCUUCUGAGUUAAUACCUCGGGAGGAUGACGGUACCUGAAGAAUAAGCACCGGCUAACUACGUGCCAGCCGCCGCGGUAAAAC
rnacentral:rRNA from 1 species